CCCCUCUCAGGAUCACACCUGGAGAGUUUUCUGUACCCUACCAGUCUUGGCUACAGGAGGGACAGUCAAGCAAAAGCAUACCCAUUCCAUUCCUAGCUUGGGCAGUGACUAGCAAAUGGAAGGCAAUCUGCUACAAGU